CAGUCGCCGCGGUAAUACGGAGGGAGCUAGCGUUGUUCGGAAUUACUGGGCGUAAAGCGCGCGUAGGCGGUUACUCAAGUCAGAGGUGAAAGCCCGGGGCUCAACCCCGGAACUGCCUUUGAAACUAGGUGACUAGAAUCUUGGAGAGGUCAGUGGAAUUCCGAGUGUAGAGGUGAAAUUCGUAGAUAUUCGGAAGAACACCAGUGGCGAAGGCGACUGACUGGACAAGUAUUGACGCUGAGGUGCGAAAGCGUGGGGAGCAAACAGGAUUAGAUACCCGCGUAGUCCCUGUCUCUUAUAA
rnacentral:rRNA from 1 species